rnacentral:rRNA from 1 species
UACGUAGGGUGCGAGCGUUAAUCGGAAUUACCGGGCGUAAAGCGUGCGCAGGCGGUUUUGUAAGCCAGAUGUGAAAUCCCCGGGCUUAACCUGGGAAUGGCAUUUGGGACUGCAAGGCUAGAGUGUGGCAGAGGAGACUGGAAUUCCUGGUGUAGCAGUGAAAUGCGCAGAUAUCAGGAGGAACACCGGUGGCGAAGGCGGAUCUCUGGGCCAUUACUGACGCUGAGGAGCGAAAGCGUGGGGAGCGAACAGG